UUCUUUGCGCUUGGGGCAAUAGCUCAGCUCAUGAGUUACUAACCGAGGCGCGUCCACUGCCCGGUUGAAAACUAUUACCAAACCCCCUCUUAGGCCUGGGUAAUGCCCCUGGCCUUCGGGAAUUCCUGGAAGGUCUCCCUUCGAGGU